rnacentral:rRNA from 1 species
UACGGAGGAUGCAAGCGUUAUCCGGAAUGAUUGGGCGUAAAGCGUCCGCAGGUGGCAAUGUAAGUCUGCUGUCAAAGCGUCUGGCUCAACCAGAUAAAGGCAGUGGAAACUACAUAGCUAGAGUAAGGUAGGGGUAGAGGGAAUUCCUGGUGUAGCGGUGAAAUGCGUAGAGAUCAGGAAGAACACCGGUGGCGAAGGCGCUCUGCUAGGCCGCAACUGACACUGAGGGACGAAAGCUAGGGGAGCGAAUGGG